rnacentral:rRNA from 1 species
GUAACACGUAGUCAACCUGCCCUGGAGACAUGGACAACCCCGGGAAACUGGGAUUAAUCCGUGAUAGGUCAUCUCAUCUGGAAGGAGAGAUGGCUUAAAGGGAUGCGCGGGCUUCUUCUGCGUAUUUGCUCCAGGAUGGGACUGCGUCCGAUCAGGCUGUUGGCGGGGUAAUGGCCCACCAAGCCAGUAACCGGUACGGGCCUUGAGAGAGGUGGCCCGGAGAUGGACACUGAGAGAAGGGUCCAGGUCCUACGGGGCGCAGCAGGCGCGAAACCUUCGCAAUGCGCGCAAGCGUGACGAGGUUAAUCCGAGUGAUUUCCGCUGAGGAGACCUUUUGUCUGCUGUAAAUAGGCAGGCGAAUAAGGGGAGGGCAAGCCUGGUGUCAGCCGCCGCGGUAAUACCAGCUCCUCGAGCGGUCGGGGCGAUUAUUGGGCCUAAAGCAUCCGUAGCCGGUUCCGUAGGUCCUCUGUUAAAUCCAACCGCCCAACGGUUGACCUGCAGAGGAUACCGCGAGACU